CUAAGCAACUAUACAUCAUAGCAGCCAGUCACCAAUUACUAAUUGUCCUCAGCACUUUAGCCUUACAAAUCUGGACUGCCGGUGACAAUGGCAAGUAGUUUUGAUGGCCAAAAACACACCGGGAGGUUUCUCAGCUCAGCAAAGACAGAGGCACUAAUGACAAGAUGGGCAUCGCAUGCCUAUCAACUAUAAUGCUUCACAUGGACUCGGCCUGCCCUUGAAAAGGAAGGGACACAGAACGAUGAGACUUAAGAGGAAAGACUUCAGCCAGCAAAAACAAGAACAACAAAUCAGAUCCUGUUCAACCAGUGAGGCACUUCCUUGCUGAAUAUCAGUCACACUUUGAAAGAUGUAUGAAUUCUUUCAAACCAGCAGGAAAAAUUUGGAAUCAAUUCUGCAUUUGCUAAACUGAACAGUUACAGCAACACAAAACAGUUGUUUCAAUGGCUUUUAAAUUUGGCCAGUACUGCUACACUUUCCUGAAGUGACAGUGGGCCCUCACAGCAACCCUCCUACCUGUACCCUCAGAAGUGAUACUUAUAUAGCCCAGAAAGUGCUUCAUUAUGACUUUCCUGGCUUCUCGUCUAUAAUACUGGCCGACAUCAGGGGCCGCCAGGAGAGUUCACAGAGCUGAAGACUGUCUCUGUCACACAAGGGAGCUGUGCCAGAAACUGCAGGUGAGCCAUUAGGAGCCACAGCAGUUCUUUUGUGACCAUGAGGGAAACCUGAAGCCAGAAGCCAAGUCAAAGUAUAGCAGAACCUCAAGACCAAAGGGGCCGUGAACAUUGGUGAUGUUGUGGAGCCACCAGAAUAACCCUAUUCUUUGUGAACUUCUUUCAGAUGAAGGAAAAUAAAUCCUGAUAUUGUUUAAGUUACUGUUUUUCUGGUCUUUGAUAUUUGCAGCCAAACAUGAGCCAUUUCUCCUGCAAAAUGCCUAAUUAUAUGAGUUCUCAAUGUUGUGCUGACUAAUAAAAAUAAGUA